UUCCAAUGAUUUUGUUCCUGCAUGUUCAAAUUCAGUUUAGUCGUGUUCGUACUUCAAGGAACAAAUGCGAUUUCUCGUGGUCUUGGUGGUGCUAGCCUAGAAGUUGUCCUUUAUGGACGGAAAGUCAUAUGCCUUUCAACAUGAAUGGAUUCAAAUUUUUCACAAAUGGCGGUGGUCUUGGGAAGCCUGACUUCAAAGAUAUCUUAGAGCAUGUUGCAAACAUAUACAAUCAAUUUACAUAAGUAGAAAGUUCGACACUUUUUAAGAGAGUAGCUUCAUUAUCUACUAAGACAGUUGAUUACAUGACUGUGUAUACAUCUGAUUAUAUUCAAGGGAAAAUGGUAGAGAAUCUUGGACUUUAAUGAGAUAAGAUGGAACCUAAAGAGAGAAGCCCUUACUUGCACUAGCUAGUUGCCACCUUAGUUGUUGGUCUUUGAAAUUACCAAAGAAUCAAUAGUUUGGCUGACAUGUUCUUACUAGUUUCUUAAAUUUACUUAGUACAUUGCUCAACGGUGGCCUAAAGUUCUAUAUGUUGCCUUUACCUUUACCUUUACCUAUGUCACUUUUUUUUUUAUUUCCUUUUUUUUUAUCAGUCCCCUCCUUUAAUUUUUCAAUAUCCCUCUCAAUAUUUUCACUCUCCCUCUCUGAAUUUUUGAACAUAUCCCCUCUUUUCUUUCUUGUAAACAUAUGAGGAAAACAAAUCCCUCAACUAUGUCACUCCCACUCUCCAUCGUGUCUUGUCUUGAGUACGACAGAUCGAGUCUAUCUCACGUUCGUCUUCUCUUCCAUGCCUCUCGGAUUUCUCCCAUGUUUCAGCAACACAUGUAACCUCAGGUAAACCUUUCCUCUUCAGAUACAAUUAGGUUGAUUUGACUGUCAAAUCCUAAAAUCAAACAAGAAUCUGGUUAACUAGUUGAGGUAUUCUAUUGAUAUAACAAUUUCACUCUCUACUUAUUUCUUAACAUUUGGGGAAAAAAAACCCUAAACUUUGUGCCUUCCAUUUUUGUUGGUUUGCUGAUUUUUUAAGUUCUUCUAUUUAAUGAAUUUAAGUUCUCCUAAUUAACGAAUUUAAGUUCUCCUUCUUUAGUUGUUUCUAAACCUUCUCCUUUGGGUGUUUUUAAUUGUUUAUGAUCAACUAAUUUGUUUUGUUUUGUUUUUCUUAUGUUUUAUUUUCUAUUUUUCUAAUCUUUCAUUUCCUUGAGAAGUUAGAUUUUUUUAUUGAGAAUGGAGCUAAUCAUUUGUAACCCUAUUGAUUGU